UUAGAAUCAAUUACACCAGCUGCAGCAAAAGAAAGUAGAAGGAUCAGCCUUAGGAGUCAGUCUCCCGACGUACCCAACACCUUCGAAACAUCUGAGGUAAGGACCCCGAUUUCAUGAUGAACCCUAGACUUAAUCCAACCCUGUCAUGAAGAAACCCGUUUGUUACGCACAGGUCGCUCCUGAAAGAGCGGGGAGAACACCUAUUAGUAUUAUGGGAUGUAGGUG
rnacentral:misc_RNA from 1 species